rnacentral:rRNA from 1 species
GAUGAACGCUGGCGGCGUGCUUAACACAUGCAAGUCGAACGAUGAAGCCCAGCUUGCUGGGUGGAUUAGUGGCGAACGGGUGAGUAACACGUGAGUAACCUGCCCUUGACUCUGUGAUAAGCCCGGGAAACUGGGUCUAAUACCGGAUAGGAGCGCCUGUCGCAUGACGGGUGUUGGAAAGAUUUUUCGGUCAUGGAUGGACUCGCGGCCUAUCAGCUUGUUGGUGAGGUAAUGGCUCACCAAGGCGACGACGGGUAGCCGGCCUGAGAGGGUGACCGGCCACACUGGGACUGAGACACGGCCCAGACUCCUACGGGAGGCAGCAGUGGGGAAUAUUGCACAAUGGGCGGAAGCCUGAUGCAGCGACGCCGCGUGAGGGAUGACGGCCUUCGGGUUGUAAACCUCUUUCAGUAGGGAAGAAGCGAAAGUGGCGGUACCUGCAGAAGAAGCACCGGCUAACUACGUG